rnacentral:tRNA from 1 species
GCCCUGGUGAUGAAAUUGGUAGACAUACGGGAUUUAAAAUCCCGGGGCUUCACGGCCGUGCGGGUUCAAGUCCCGCCCGGGGCACCA